rnacentral:lncRNA from 10 species
GAUUGUACUCUUGCAUACCUGGGGAGGCUUCCUGCCAACUGAGCAGGGUUUCCAGGUACAAUUUUUCUUGCUGACAUGCAAAAGUACUUCCCAACAAGAUGGUACACACAAAUUAAUAGCAUAGAAAAGUGGCCAGGAAGUGUGCUGCAUCUGAAGAGGAAUCGAGUUUGAGAGUAACCCUUCUACAGCACCUCCACCCGCGGGAUGCUCAGAGAGCCCUUCUCUGCACAACAUUUCUUACACUGCCUUCCUGCCAAUACCCCAGGGCACAAGCACCUGGUUUUUUCACCCAUUCAGCUUGCAUUAUUGUAGCACUUUGAUUCCAAAACACAAAAAAAGUCUUUCAUAUAUUUCUUUUUAUUGAUUCCCCCUCUCCAGAGCCUCAGCCAGGCUGCCUCAUCAUCGAAUCAUUCUGAAAUAUCUUCCACAAACCUUCCCCUUGUAUUCAUACCAAAUAGCUCUCAGCUAUACUCCAAACCCAUGCAAUGAGGUAGAAAAUUACUUCCCUCCCCCUCCGAUUCUUAAAGUGGUUAAUUUUUUUUUCCUGGAAUGGACAUUAUUAAUAUUUCAAAUUUGUUCUCAUUGCUUUAUAAACUGUAACCAUGGAUCCAGCU